rnacentral:rRNA from 1 species
GAUGAACGCUGGCGGCGUGCUUAACACAUGCAAGUCGAACGGUGAAGGCGGAGCUUGCUCUGCUGGAUCAGUGGCGAACGGGUGAGUAACACGUGAGCAAUCUGCCCCUGACUCUGGGAUAAGCGCUGGAAACGGCGUCUAAUACUGGAUACGAGCUGCGAAGGCAUCUUCAGCAGCUGGAAAGAACUUCGGUCAGGGAUGAGCUCGCGGCCUAUCAGCUUGUUGGUGAGGUAACGGCUCACCAAGGCGUCGACGGGUAGCCGGCCUGAGAGGGUGACCGGCCACGCUGGGACUGAGAAACGGCCCAGCAUCCUACGGGAGGCAGCAGUGGGGAAUAUUGCACCGUGGGCGAAAGCCUGAUGCAGCAACGCCGCGUGCGGGACCACGGCCUUCGGGUUGUAAACCUCUUUUAGCAGGGAAGAAGCGAAAGUGACGGUACCUGCAGCAACAGCCCCGGCUAACUACGUG